ensembl:snRNA U1 U1 spliceosomal RNA
GUCCUUACCUGGCAGGGGAGGUGCCAUGAUCACGAAGGUGGUGUCCCAGGGCACGGCUUCUCCAUCAUACUCCACAUGUGCUGACUCAGCCAUUUCCCCAGUUUAGGAAACUUGGCUGCACAAUUGUGGUGGUGGGGGACUUGUUCAAGCUCUCCCA